UCUUUGCCUAACGACGUACGACCGACUCGCCCAACAAUAUGCAUUAUUGAAGAAAGAAGCACAAAGCCGUUUCCAUAAACGUAUUGCGCGACAACAAUGGAUGAGGCCCAUGGCUAUGGUGAAGUGUUCUUGCACUGCGCACCUGUGAAGUGGGAGCUACUAUACAUUCAACUGCCGUUCGCGCUUUAUGGCUACAUAUGGAUGUGUCUCGUGGAAUAUUGUCGGUUUCCCCUUCUCGGUUCCCUUUGGCAGCGAGUGCAUGGCGCUGCAGGCGCUUUUUGUGAUUCUCUUCGCUUCAAGUUUCGCCUUGUUGGAAUCUAAGCUCCCUGACCAACGCCCACGAGCUUUCAGUAUUCGAAAGUUUUUAUCGACAGAAGAACGUAUCUGGACAUACAGCACAACAAAGCCGUCAAGUCAUCGGUGCCAAGUGGACGAAAUGCUUGAUGAGAAAAAAACUUCAAUAUUUUUCAAGCGAUGGUUUUAUCUCAACCUGCAAAAGACAAGUAGGAACAUUUUGGGAAAGUUCGAUUCAAGCCGCAAGAAACGCAUGGAGGUCGUUCUUCCAGGUCGCAAUUACACAGUCAAAGAGGAUAUUCUGUACAUGAGUGAAAACUUUGGAUGUGCGGUGACUAUGAUUACGAAGAAAACGCAGAGUUUGUAUUAAUUUUAGUAAAACCAUCAUGUACAACCUGCGAGUAAAAAAUUCUACAAUAAUAGGUGGCCAUUUCACUGACUGUAAAGUGAAAUUCAGUGAGUAUGAGAAGAGAGCUGUACAAGUAUUGUAUACAACCGGAUGCCAGAACAUAUUUGCCAAAUUUAAGUCUGCAAGCCACAAAUAAAAAAAUCGUUAAAACGCAA